CAGCAAAGGGGAGAUGCUGGACCUGGUGGUGUUGGAGCAGCUGCUGGCCGUGCUGCCCGCGGAGAUGGCCAGCUGGGUGAGGGAGUGCGGAGCCGAGAGCUGUUCCCAGGCGGUGGCCCUGGCCGAAGGCUUCCUGCUCAGCCAAGCCCAGAGGGAAGAGCCGGGAAAGGGGCAGCAGGUGCAGUAGCCAUUCAUGGGGGUGAUCUCCACAGAACUUCACGAAAGAGGAGAUCCAUCCAGCCCUUCUCAGGAACUGCAUUUCAGGAGGAUCCAACCAGAGAGAGUGAGAAUAUAAAUGCCUAGAAUGUGGAAAGACCUAUACACGAAAAGGACAUCUUAAUCGUCAUGAAAGGAUUCACACUGGAGAGAGACCAUGUAAAUACAAGCACUAUGGAAAAACCUUUACUGAGAAAGAAAAACAUAAUUGUCCUGAAAGAAUACACACUGAGGAGCCACUGGUCUCUGCCAGUUUUUUCUUCUAAAGUGCUGAGUGCCAAGUGUUAAAAGUGCUUUAAUGUCUUCAGCACCUUUGAUUAUCACAAUGGCAUACACAGAAGAGAAAAUUUGAAGUACAUGAGGAGUGGAGCCACCAUCACUGAGUGUGCUUUCUUCUCAUAAAAGGAUUCACACAGGAAAAAUAAAUAAAAUCCCUGGAUUGAGGUUUAUUCUCAAUAGCCAAUCAUCAACCAAGGAUCCAGAUGUGGCCAGAAGCUUAUUAAUUCAUGGAAUGUGCAAAGAUCUUUGGUUUGUAUUGGAAUCUUAUUUACCUUCCAUUUAGCUACACAGUAGAAAAAGUAUAAGCACUGGAAUUUGAAAAUUGCUGAUGGUGGAUCAGUGACCUCACUUAUCAUAGGAUGAUGCCUUUCUUCUUGAGGAAAAUGCUUCUGUUUCCUCUCUGAAAUAAUUCAUGAAAUUCAAACCUAUGUUCAUCUCCCUGCGGGAUGUAAGAAGCUCCAGAGAUUGAGGGAGUGGUCACAAUUCUUUCUCUACCAGCCCAUUUUUUUCUCUAGUGCAGAAAUUUGAGGCUCCUUUGCCAUUUUAGCUAAUAUUCUUCAACGUAUUUAUGCUCAUUGACAAUACCACAUAUCAUAUAACUUUAUAUUGUUGCUGCUCCCUAUCCCCACCUAGUGGCCAGAGAGACCGUUAUUCCCCAACUAUGUUGUCUGAAGCUCACUUUGCCCAUUUACAUCCUGCUCUCAAACCAAGUGUAUGCUGGGAAGCCAGACUCCAUUUCCUUUGGCAUUUAGAGAAGGCAGAAGCAGCCAAUUUAAUCUGUGGCACAUGGUCAUUCAAAACGAACUAACAUUCCCCGCCCCCUACACCAUGGCUCUUGAGAUUCAAACUGCAUAUAUUUAUUAAUUGUUACGUUCAGCAGACAGCAGUCUAUCUUAUAUUUGAUUUUCACCACAUGUAUUCAUAUUUCCUUCAGUUUCACCAUAUCCUGUUCUACAAAUAAAGCCUUCAAAUCUA